AUUGAACGCUGGCGGCAUGCCUUACACAUGCAAGUCGAACGGCAGCACGGGAGCAAUCCUGGUGGCGAGUGGCGAACGGGUGAGUAAUACAUCGGAACGUGCCCAGUAGUGGGGGAUAGCCCGGCGAAAGCCGGAUUAAUACCGCAUACGGCCUGAGGGUGAAAGCGGGGGAUCGCAAGACCUCGCGCUAUUGGAGCGGCCGAUGUCGGAUUAGCUAGUUGGUGGGGUAAAGGCUCACCAAGGCAACGAUCCGUAGCUGGUCUGAGAGGACGACCAGCCACACUGGGACUGAGACACGGCCCAGACUCCUACGGGAGGCAGCAGUGGGGAAUUUUGGACAAAGGGCGCAAGCCUGAUCCAGCCAUGCCGCGUGCGGGAAGAAGGCCUUCGGGUUGUAAACCGCUUUUGUCAGGGAAGAAACGCUCUGGGCUAAUACCCCGGGGUAAUGACGGUACCUGAAGAAUAAGCACCGGCUAACUAUGUGCCAGCCGCCGCAGUAAGAC
rnacentral:rRNA from 1 species